rnacentral:rRNA from 1 species
GAGUUUGAUCGUGGCUCAGAUUGAACGCUGGCGGCAUGCCUUACACAUGCAAGUCGAACGGUAACAGGUCUUCGGAUGCUGACGAGUGGCGAACGGGUGAGUAAUACAUCGGAACGUGCCCGAUCGUGGGGGGAUAACGGAGCGAAAGCUUUGCUAAUACCGCACACGAUCUACGGAUGAAAGCAGGGACCGCAAGGCCUUGCGCGGACGGAGCGGCCGAUGGCAGAUUAGGUAGUUGGUGGGAUAAAAGCUUACCAAGCCGACGAUCUGUAGCUGGUCUGAGAGGACGACCAGCCACACUGGGACUGAGACACGGCCCAGACUCCUACGGGAGGCAGCAGUGGGAAUUUUGGACAAUGGGCGAAAGCCUGAUCCAGCCAUGCCGCGUGCAGGAUGAAGGCCUUCGGUUGUAACUGCUUUGUAC